UACGGGGGGGGCAAGCGUUGUUCGGAAUUACUGGGCGUAAAGGGCGCGUAGGCGGUUGGAUAAGUCAGCUGUGAAAACCACGAGCUUAACUCGUGGCCUGCAGUUGAGACUGUCUGGCUUGAGUGUGGGAGAGGAGAGUGGAAUUCCUGGUGUAGCGGUGAAAUGCGUAGAUAUCUGGAGGAACACCGGUGGCGAAGGCGGCAUCCUGGACCGAGAUUGACGCUGAGGCGCGAAAGCCAGGGGAGCAAACGGG
rnacentral:rRNA from 1 species